rnacentral:rRNA from 1 species
UACGUAGGGGGCUAGCGUUGUCCGGAAUCAUUGGGCGUAAAGAGCGUGUAGGCGGUCCGGUAAGUCCGCUGUGAAAGUCGGGGGCUCAACCCUCGAACGCCGGUGGAUACUGUCGGGCUAGAGUGCGGAAGAGGCGAGUGGAAUUCCUGGUGUAGCGGUGAAAUGCGUAGAGAUGUGGAGGAACACCGAUGGCGAAGGCAGCCCCCUGGGUCAACACUGACGCUCAUGCACGAAAGCGUGGGGAGCAAACAGG